UACGGAUAACUAUACAAAAGAUAAUUCACUGAAAUGUCUGAUGAUGAGUAAGAUGAGAAAAGAAACAUAUUUCAAGUCAUUAUAUUGUGAGCAAGAUGCGAUAAUGAGUCAUGAGCAAAAUUUUAGUUGUACUCGACCGUGGAAGGUUAUAGUGUUCCCUUAUCAGAUAGAUACCUUACGGCUUACCUUACGGCGAUUAGUUCCUUGAUGACUGACUAUGACACCUAAAUUCAUGUGGAUAUUGAAUGGGAAAUUAUGUAUCUUUGUAAGAUUAUAUGAGCUCGUGUUAUAGAUAUUUUCGUCCAGUAGUAGUACUGUUAAAAAAGUGUAAUUAUCAGAUAAAAAAAAAAAUUUGAUUUGUCGAAGAAAGGAAUGUUGCACGCAACACAAACUCAGAAUUAAUUGGUUAUCUGUUAUAGUGUGGUAUUUGAUAAAGCAAGACAAAGAUAAAACAAAACAAAAUGGUUUCAUGUUAUCUUGAAAUUAGAGAUCGGUGUGCUUAACUUAUUAACAAUCAUUGUCGUUUAUUUAAAAAUCAGAAUUUGCCCCUUAAGAUGAUUCAGAAAGAACAUGAAAUGAAAAAAGUUGUGUCAAAAUAUAAUAAGAAGUCAUUUUUUACACGAGAAAGAUUGAUGUUGGUCAAUAAAUCCAUUGCAGUAGUUCAGGGUUAGGUCAUGAUGUGAUGAAAACAAUGAUGAUGUACAUGUUUCUAAAAGUGUAUUGUUGUUCCCUUUUAUAUUUUAUUUGAGAGCAAAUUGAUAUGUUUAUUUUCCCAAGAGAGUAAAGAUAGACGAGUUGACUCAAGGCUGAUAAGUAGGAGUGACUGCAUUACUAACUUGGCUACUACUUACUACUUUAGAGAAAUUCCAGCCGACACCUUUUAUGAUGUGGAAAGGAUGAUCUCCCUUCAUUCUUUCCUUGUAGUUAUAAUCUACAGUUCCUGAUAAAAGCAUCAGUCUCCUGGGACCUGGAUGAUACGGCUGGCAGAGGGGUCAACCAGGUGUCACGAGCGUGGGCGAGGGCCAUAUCUAGGACUCCCCUGGUUCCAGCAGCUGGGAGCAGGCCUUCCCAACCCACACCACAUCCCCGGAUGAGAUAACGACCCGCAACCAAGUUAACAAUCGUGUGAGGACGCACGAUCUUGAGGAGGGGCAUUGUUGUGACAUGAUAUCGAUAAGAAAUGAAAUACGUAAGGAAGAAGACAGCAAGAAUGAAGAGA